rnacentral:rRNA from 1 species
CACGUAGGGUGCGAGCGUUGUCCGGAAUUAUUGGGCGUAAAGAGCUCGUAGGCGGUGUGUCGCGUCGGCCGUGAAAACCUGCAGCUUAACUGUGGGCUUGCGGUCGAUACGGGCAUCACUGGAGUUCGGCAGGGGAGACUGGAAUUCCUGGUGUAGCGGUGAAAUGCGCAGAUAUCAGGAGGGAACACCGGGUGGCGAAGGGCGGGGUCUCUGGGGCCCGAUACUG